AAAAGAAAAAGACAAAGACAAAGACAAAGAAAAAAAAAAAGGAAAAAGCCAGAAGAAACUCUUCUGAGAUGACACACAGUGGGACAUUCUGUAUGAAACAGACCGUGACGUUGAGGUCUUCUAUGGGACGGCUGAUUGCACAUGGACUUUUAACCAACCGCCCUUGCCAGUGACCAAAUGACUAAUCUUAAGAAAGCCUCCUCACCACGAAGUGCAACACCAGAUGAUGGACCAGCAAAGGCAAUUCUACUCUGACAAACACGAAAUAAACUUGCAUGUAACAUGAUGGCAGAGCUGCUUACACCUUAGGGUCACUCACUAAAUCUUCACUGAACCUUUCUCUUGCUCUCUGGAAGGGUGGCCAAGCCUAUCGUACACCAGGACACUGAGAUCUACGGAAAGAUACUUAAUCCUUUCUCAUGGGCAGCCUUUCUUCAGUUAGUAAAAGAAAGAGGAACUUCACCAACUGUCACAUGAGUUUAAAAUUUUGAAGAGACCUGCCUCUUUUGUGGCACAGGUAACUAAUAUUCUAACCAUGUUAAAAAAAAGUACUC